rnacentral:misc_RNA from 1 species
ACGUCAUCCCCACCUUCCUCACCGCUUGCGCGGGCAGUCUCAUUAGAGUCCCCAGCAUGACCUGUUGGCAACUAAUGAUAGGGGUUGCGCUCGUUACGGGACUUAACCCAACACCUCACGGCACGAGCUGACGACAGCCAUGCAGCACCUAGUUUCGUGCAAUUGCUUGCUGCCAUGUUUCUACGGCAUUCACUAACUUUCAAGCCCAGGUAAGGUUCCUCGCGUAUCAUCGAAUUAAACCACAUGCUCCUCCGCUUGUGCGGGCCCCCGUCAAUUCCUUUGAGUUUCAACCUUGCGGUCGUACUUCCCAGGUGGAUUACUUAAUGCUUUCGCUCAGAGGCGUGCUGUGUAUCGCACACUUCGAGUAAUCAUCGUUUAGGGCGUGGACUACCAGGGUAUC